rnacentral:rRNA from 1 species
UAAGGAAUAUUGCUCAAUGGGAGAAAUCCUGAGGCAGCAACGCCGCGUGGAGGAUGAAGGGUCUAUGACUUGUAAACUCCUGUAAAGAAGGAAAAAAUUCCCAUUUGAUGGGAGAUGAUGGUAUUUCUGGAGUAAGCCCCGGCUAACUACGUGCCAGCAGCCGCGGUAAUACGUAGGGGGCAAGCGUUGUCCGGAUUUACUGGGUGUAAAGGGUGCUCAGGCGGAUGUGUAAGUCAGAGGUGAAAUCUUACAGCUUAACUGUGAAACGGCCUUUGAUACUGCAAGCCUAGAGUAUGGAAGAGAGUGAUGGAAUAUCUGGUGUAGCAGUGAAAUGCGUAGAUAUCAGAUAGAACACCAAUGGCGAAGGCAGUCACUUGGUCCAUUACUGACGCUAAAGCACGAAAGCGUGGGUAGCAAACA